rnacentral:rRNA from 1 species
CACGUAGGCGGCCAUUCAAGUCAGAGGUGAAAGCCCGGGGCUCAACCCCGGAACUGCCUCUGAAACUAGAUGGCUUGAAUCUUGGAGAGGCGAGUGGAAUUCCGAGUGUAGAGGUGAAAUUCGUAGAUAUUCGGAGGAACACCAGUGGCGAAGGCGGCUUACUGGUCCAUUACUGACGCUGAGGUGCGAAAGCGUGGGGAGCAAACA